rnacentral:rRNA from 1 species
CUGAAAGCAUCUAAGUGGGAAGCCCCACCCAAGAUCAGAUCUCUCACAGCGUAAGCUGGUAAGACCCCAGAAAGACUAUCUGGUUGAUAGGCCGCAGGUGUAAGGCUAGUAAUAGCUUCAGCCGAGCUGUACUAACGGUCGAGGGCUUGUUAUC